ACCUGCCCAUUGGAAUCUAAAAGGCCGCGGUAUUAUGACCGUGCUAAGGUAGCAUAAUCAUUAGUCUUUUAAUUGGAGGCUGGUAUGAAUGGUUGGACAAGAAAUAAGCUGUCUUAAAUAAAAAUAUUGAAUUUAACUUUUAAGUGAAAAGGCUUAAAUUUUCUAAGGGGACGAUAAGACCCUAUAAAACUUUAUAUUUUAAAAUAAUAAUUAAUUUUAUAUAGAAGAUUUAUUUUUAAAUAUUUUAUUGGGGUGAUAAAGAUAAAAUGUGAGAUAACUGUCUUUUUUUUUUUACAAUUAAUAUUUGAGUAAAAGAUCUUAACAAAGGAAAUAAGAGAUUAAGUUACUUUAGGGAUAACAGCGUAAUUUUCUUUAAGAGUUCUUAUCGACAAGAAAGUUUGCGACCUCGAUGUUGAAUUAAAAGUUCUUUAUAGAGUAGAUAUUAUAAUAGAGGGUCUGUUCGACCCUUAAAAUUUUACGUG
rnacentral:rRNA from 1 species